UACGGAGGGUGCGACCGUUAAUCGGACUCACUGGGCGUAAAGCGCGCGUAGGCGGUUUGUCACGUCGGAUGUGAAAAUCCAGGGCUCAACCCUGGACCUGCAUUCGAUACGGGCAGACUAGAAUUCGGUAGGGGAGACUGGAAUUCCUGGUGUAGCGGUGAAAUGCGCAGAUAUCAGGAGGAACACCGGUGGCGAAGGCGGGUCUCUGGGCCGAUAUUGACGCUGAGGAGCGAAAGCGUGGGGAGCGAACAGG
rnacentral:rRNA from 1 species